UACCAGCACCCCGAGUGGUCGGGACGUUUAUUGGGCCUAAAGCAUCCGUAGCCGGUUUUACAAGUCUUCCGUUAAAUCCACCUGCUUAACAGAUGGGCUGCGGAAGAUACUAUAGAGCUAGGAGGCGGGAGAGGCAAGCGGUACUCGAUGGGUAGGGGUAAAAUCCGUUGAUCCAUUGAAGACCACCAGUGGCGAAGGCGGCUUGCCAGAACGCGCUCGACGGUGAGGGAUGAAAGCUGGGGGAGCAAACCGG
rnacentral:rRNA from 1 species